rnacentral:rRNA from 1 species
UACGGAGGGUUCAAGCGUUAUCCGGAUUCACUGGGUUUAAAGGGUGCGUAGGCGGGCAGGUAAGUCCGUGGUGAAAUCUCUGAGCUUAACUCAGAAACUGCCAUGGAUACUAUUUGUCUUGAAUGUUGUGGAGGUAAGCGGAAUAUGUCAUGUAGCGGUGAAAUGCUUAGAUAUGACAUAGAACACCAAUUGCGAAGGCAGCUUACUACACAAAUAUUGACGCUGAGGCACGAAAGCGUGGGGAUCAAACAGG